CCUCGGGAGGUAGUAGUGAGGAAGAGUGGUCAAGGGGCGGAAGCCGGAACCAGUCAAGUAGAGUGAAGGACGACGGACCUACGGGUUGUAAACUGCUUUUAUACGGGAAUAACGCGCCUUACGUGUAGGGCUUUGCAUGUACCGUAUGAAUAAGGACCGGCUAAUUCCGUGCCAGCAGCCGCGGUAAUACGGAAGGUCCGGGCGUUAUCCGGAUUUAGUGGGUGUAAAGGGAGCGUAGGCCGCAUGUCAAGCGUGCUGUGAAAUGUCCGGGCUCAACCCGGGCCUUGCAGCGCGAACUGGCGUGCUUGAGUCCGCGGAAAGCAGGCGGAAUUCGUCGUGUAGCGGUGAAAUGCUUAGAUAUGACGAAGAACCCCGAUUGCGAAGGCAGCUUGCUGCAGCGGAACUGACGCUGAUGCUCGAAAGCGCGGGUAUCGAACAGGAUUAGAUACCCGGGUAGUC
rnacentral:rRNA from 1 species